CAGCAGCCGCGGUAAUACGUAGGGGGCGAGCGUUGUCCGAAGUUACUAGGCGUAAAGCGCGCGUAGGCGGCUUCUUAAGUCUGAGGUGAAAGGUUCAACGCUUAACGUGAACAGUGCCUUGGAUACUGGGGAGCUUGAGUAUGGGAGAGGGCAGUGGAAUGGCUGGUGUAGCGGUGAAAUGCGUAUAUAUCAGUCGGAACACCCAUGGCGAAGGCAGCUGCCUGGCCUAAUACUGACGCUGAGGUGCGAAAGCGUGGGGAGCGAACGGGAUUAGAUACCCCUGUAGUCCCUGUCUCUUAUA
rnacentral:rRNA from 1 species